GCUGAGUGCGGUGGCACAGCCUGUGGUCUCAGCUACUCUGGAGGCUGAGGAACAUCAUUUGAGCCCAGGAGUAAUGGUCUGGAGCUAACUAUGCCUAUUGGGUAUCUGCAGUAAGCUCGGCAUCAAUAUGGUGACCUUUCGGGAGUGGGGACCACCAAGUUGCCUAAGGAGGGGUGAACUGGCUUGGUGGGAAACAGAACAGGUGAAAACUCCCAUGCUGAUCAGCAGUGGGAUUGCAUCUGUGCAUAGCCACUGCCCUCCAGCCUGGGCAACACACGAGACCCUGUCUCUA
rfam:Nomascus leucogenys chromosome 3, whole genome shotgun sequence.